GGUGCAAUGAUGAGAUGAAAAAUCCUAAUAGUGUUUUGGGCAGUGGACGUAACCUACAAGUUGCGCCGUGAGCCUAUUUAACAAUGACUUCUCCUUCCACUGAGCACU